rnacentral:lncRNA from 1 species
GUUUGGGGUUUGGUUUCGCAUCCCAAGAGGAACCAAACCCCAUCCAGGACGGGCGAAAGGACCAGGCAGAGCCCUGCGCAGCACAAUUUGGGUUUUCCUGCCCCAAGGGGAAGCUGCUGCACCCGCAGGGAGCCCCCAGGCUGGGGAGAAACGGGGACGUUUGAGGACUCGCAGGCCCUAGAGCAGCUCCCUGAGCAUCUUCCCACUGGGGAAGGCAUCGCGUGUCCUGCUGGGAGCCAAAAAUACCCCAAACCUGACCCCCGGGACUGGGGAACGCUGCCCGAGGACCCCCCUGUGGUGGGGUGGCUGCGCACACGUGUAGGGCACGAGCGCCCCGGGUAGGUGUAAGAAGGGGUCCAGGUCAGCUUGCUUCGGGUGGCCUUGGCCAAGGCCGGUGGCUCGGAGCGUGGCCCCAGGGGUGCCGGGGAGCCCCCAGGGCGCUGCAACAGCCGCUGGGUUUGAUAUUUGGAAAUUAAUUAAUAUGGAUAUUUUGGAAAUGAACAGCAUUUGUGAGUGGCUCAUUUCCACCUCCCUUUGAAGAGCUGUGCACCACCUCUUCCCACGGUGCCGGGCACAGCGCGAGGCUGGAGAAGGAGCUGAGGGGGGAUUUCUUCCCUAAAAUGCAGCCCCAUCCCACCCAGGACCACGCUGCCCAUCGCGGACACGAGGUGCUACGCAGGAUCCACGAGCCCGAGGAGGACGAGCAGCAGCAGGGCGGGUUCAGGGGGCUGCCGGUGCUCCCUGUGCCACCGGCACCCAGCCCGUCCCUCAGCACGAAGCCAGGGGCUGCUCCCACGCGGAGGGCGAGGACUGGACACGAAGCAGGGACAGCAACGGGCUCCCCUCGGCCACGGCUCGGAGGACGGCGGCUGCAGGAGGGAUGGAGCCGAGCUCUUGGAUGCGCCUGGCCGAGAUGGGCACCAUCGGCACAGCUGCACGGGGACCACCGCGGCUUCCAUCGGCUCAAAUCAGGCUCAAAAUGCACCGAGCUUCACCUCAGAAGUGGGACAGGGGUUGUAACGAUGCCACGGCUGAAUGAGGAGUGGAAAGAGAGCCCCCUGCUCGCUCUGGAGGUACCACGGGUCAAAAUGCUGCAGGUUUGUGCUGAGCUCGGCAGCCAAGACCGAGCCAAAACUGCGUUAUUCGUGGGCUCAAACCAAGAUGGGGCCCUCAGAGAGAACUAA